AGGACGAACGCUUGCGACGUGCCUAAGAAAUGCAAGUCGAACGGACAGUAGCAAUACUGUUAGUGGCGAACGGUCGCGUAACACGUGGGCAACCUGCCCUGAAGCGGGGGACAACAACUCGAAAGAGUUGCUAAUACCGCAUGUGGAUCGCUCUGGCAUCAGAGAUUAUCCAAAGCCCUCGGGCACUUCAGGAUGGGCCCGCGGCCUAUCAGCUUGUUGGUGAGGUAACGGCCCACCAAGGCUUCGACGGGUAGCUGGUCUGAGAGGACGAUCAGCCGGAUUGGGACUGAGAUACGGCCCAGACUCCUACGGGGGGCAGGCAAUUAGGAAUCUUGCACAAUGGGCGAAAGCCUGAUGCAGCGACGUCGCGUGAGGGAUGAAGUCUUUCGGGACGUAAACCUCUUUUAUCGGGGAAGAAACAAUGACGGUACCCGGUGAAUAAGCCCCGGCUAACUACGUGCCAGCAGCC
rnacentral:rRNA from 1 species